GCGAACGUAGUUCAGUGGUAGAACACCACCUUGCCAAGGUGGAGGUCGCGGGUUCGAAUCCCGUCGUUCGCU
rnacentral:tRNA from 1 species